UACGUAGGCAGCGAGCGUUGUUCGGAGUUACUGGGCGUAAAGCGUGCGUAGGCGGUGUCUUAAGUUUGUUGUGAAAUCUCCCGGCUUAACCGGGAGGGUGCGGCGAAUACUGAGAUGCUGGAGUGCCGGAGAGGUAAGCGGAAUUCCUGGUGUAGCGGUGAAAUGCGUAGAUAUCAGGAGGAACACCUGCGGUGUAGACGGCUUACUGGACGGUAACUGACGCUGAGGUGCGAAAGCGUGGGGAGCGAACGGG
rnacentral:rRNA from 1 species